UGUCGUCAGCUCGUGCCGUGAGGUGUUGGGUUAAGUCCCGCAACGAGCGCAACCCUUGUCGUUAGUUACAUUCUCUAACGAGACAGCCUCUCACAAGGAGGAGGAAGGUGGGGAUGACGUCAAGUCAUCAUGGCCCUUAUGUCCUGGGCUACACACACGCUACAAUGGCCGGUACAAUGGGUCGCGAAGCCGCGAGGCGGAGCCAAUCCCACCAAAGCCGGCCCCAGUUGGGAUUGCAGGCUGCAACUCGCCUGCAUGAACGUGGAAUCGCUAGUAACCGCAGGUCAGCACACUGCGGUGAAUACGUUCCCGGGCCUUGUACACACCGCCCGUCACGUCAUGGAAGCCGAGAACGAUUGAAGUCGCUGAGCUAACCCGCAAGGGAGGCAGGCGCCGAGGUCGGGUUUGGUGACUGGGACGAAGUCGUAACAAGGUAGCUGUACCGGAAGGUGCGGCUGGAUCACCUCCUUUUAAGGA
rnacentral:rRNA from 1 species